UUAUCUGUAAUUUUUUGUUUUGCUUCUUGCUCAAUAAAGAAACUUUUAUGCAAGAGUUCGACUUCUACUAUACAAGAACUAUACUCGACUCCUUGCAACCAUAUCUGGAUUGUCCAUCUUUACUUUUCGAAGGAAUACACCAGCACAACAAAAAAAAUUAGGAAUCCAUCUCGUAAAAGAAACGCAGAUAGUAAGUAAAAGUAUCUUAAGGAUCAGUGAACUGAUUUUUUUGGGUAGAAGAAAGAUGAAGAUGUGAAGAAUGCAAUUAAGAUUUUGCUGAACAAGUUUUCGAAAAUGAACUGUCAAAAAAAAAAAAAAUUAACUGAAAAACAAGAUCAAAGUCGUUGAAAAUUUUUGUGUAGUAUGUUUUUUUUUAUCUUUGCCGCGCGCUCAUUGACUUGUGUGGAUAUUUUAUUUGAAAUUCUCAAGUGCACUUAAGGUGCCGCACACACUAGCUGUGUUAGAAUUUAUAUUUUAGACAACAAAUUUGUAUGACUUUUGUGUUGUAUUUUUUUGAUUUUAUGACGUAUUUCAGAAAAUAUUUAAAAAAGAAUAAAAUUAAAUGUUUCUAUAUCGUUUCUGUGUGUGUGAUAAAUGACUUUGAUUGGAAGAAAAAGAGAGACAGAGGGAGAAUCAAAAUCUAUAAUGUUUUACGACAACUAAUGAAUUUCGAUUGUGAAAGCUAUAAAAUUUGUGAAUGUUCUUGUGGUAGAAGGUAGCUAUAUUAGAAACAUUUUUAGAUGCAACAACUUGAGAAUUGUUGUUCGUCAAGUGUGUGUAAGGAAAUAAAUUUUGUAUUUUUUUUUUUAGGUUUAUAUUUAUAUCUUUACCGGAUAUCACAUUUGUGAUGUAGAAAAUUAGAAGAAAAACGAUUUGAAUGAUUUGUAUAAAUUUUUUAAAUGCACUUGUUGAAAUUUAUGGGGAGACAAAAAAGAAUGGCAAAUCAUUCACAAACAACCCAAGAACAUGCAUAUAAGAUAAAUAUUGUACAUAUAUUUUUCUUCGUAGUCCAAAACUCAAAGUCAGACUGGGACUGCUGCUGGUCUUUCCAAGGAGGAGCGACGACUAUGACGACGACGACCGACGACAACGGGCAGAAGGCACUCUAUGGCAGUAGCUUUAGCUUGGCUUGGCUUUGGCUGUCUCCUGGAAAUUAUUAUGCCCGUCAUGACUGCAUGCGACUGAUCAAACAUAAUACAAAAUGCGACCGGCUACAUUCAGUCCUUUCCUUUCAUCAUUCGAUCGAGUUCGGCUACGGAGUUAUUAAUUCCUGGCACAUUCUAGGCGCCAAAUGCACUAUUAUACGAGUACGCCGUGCUGCCGUGCCGUAGGCAUAAACUAAGAAGAAGAGUGCUGUGCCUGAUGUGCCUUUAACCAUCGCCAUCGUCCGCGCCUCGCCCGCCGGCCGCCACCGUUGGCAUACUCGUUGUCCAAGUCUAAGUCUUCUUCGUCGUCGUCGGUCGUCCAUGUCGGAGACGUACCACGACGUGCACUCCUUCCGUCAUAUUGGUGACUUGAUUCUGUUCUAGCUUCCUAUUUUAAAUGGAAAACCAGCAAAACGAGAGGACAAGAGCGAGACCCACAAAUGGGGAAUAAAAACUACCAUCCAUCGUGUCCGAGGAGAAAGAUGGAUUAGGUACACCACCAAGGUGGAUGGAAUGGACAAUUGUUUCUCUAGUUUUUAAGAGUUGCUAUACAGAACAAACACACUAUAAAGAAGGGAUAUGGAGCAGCCUCCUGUUCAAAAAAAACAAAAAACUUGAAAAAAAUGUAUUCCUAAUCGAAGAAGUACGUGAAAGUGUGAGGUUUUUGCUUUCUUCGGGACUCGUAUAAUCGCCAGGCAAUGCCAGAGUGCGGCCGACAGUGUGACUUACCGCGAAGGGAUAGGCCCGGCCCAGCUCGGUCGUUAUCGUUAUAGUCUUUGUCGUCGUCGUAGUUCAGCUCUGAGAAUGAGAAAAAUCCACACAAAUCGAACUUUGAAUUGCACCAUGUUAAAGUAGUUGAACGACCAUAUUGUUAGCUCUGGCUGAAAAGCAAAGCUAUACUAGAACUCGAAGAAAAGAAAAGAAGUCUUGGAAAUCACUGCAAUGCCGUCUGGAAUAAUAAGCUGUUUAACAGAGGUUCUCUGUGAUAGUUCUAGAAAUCAUAAUGUAGAGUUCUAUGCUGCGUGUAAUUUAUUGCGUACCAUGUAACAACUACCGGGUUCACACGUCUGGCGUUCCUUCUUUUUUUUUUAUUUAAAGGCACGCAGAUUCACCUACAAUAAUAAUAAUAAUAAUUAUACUGUCGUCGUCGUCUCGGUUUUUGGUCUUCGCCUUCGACGUUGUCAUUUUUGGGUUGGCAUUGUGUUUUUCUGUUCGGCAGUCGUCUGGAUCGAUGCGAUGGUGGUGGCCAUUUUCAUUGAAUAAAUCGAUUAAAUGGAAUUAAAGUGUCACAGAUUGCGGGAAAGUGCUGAUGCCAGCAGAGGAGAAGAAGAUUCCCUUUCAAGAAAAAUAUACACAAUCACACCAAUAAUAAUAUGAAAGUCCCUAAAAGUUUUUUUUUUUUUAUUUGUUUUUUUCUUGUUUUGCAACAGAAGGUAUAUGAUGUAGUCAGUCUGUGUUGAUUGUAAAAAAGGACACAAGAGUUUUUGGAAAAAGGACUUCAUCUAUAUGGAUGGGGCGGCUCGGCUGUGCAAAAACUUUUACUUGUG